rnacentral:rRNA from 1 species
UACGAAGGGGGCUAGCGUUGUUCGGAAUUACUGGGCGUAAAGCGUGCGCAGGCGGUUCUUCAAGUCAGUGGUGAAAGCCCGGAGCUCAACUCCGGAACUGCCAUUGAAACUGUAGAGCUAGAGUACGAGAGAGGUGAGUGGAAUUCCCAGUGUAGAGGUGAAAUUCGUAGAUAUUGGGAAGAACACCGGUGGCGAAGGCGGCUCACUGGCUCGUAACUGACGCUCAUGCACGACAGCGUGGGGAUCAAACAGG